UACGUAGGGGGCGAGCGUUGAUCGGAAUUACUGGGCGUAAAGCGUGCGCAGGCGGUUUCUUGAGCCAGAUGUGAAAGUGCCGGGUUUAACCUGGGAAUUGAGCUUGGUACUGGGAGACUAGAGUGUGGCAGAGGGAGGUAGAAUUUCCCGUGUAGCAGUGAAAUGCGUAGAUAUGUGGAGGAAUACUGAUGGCGAAGGCAGCCUCCUGGGCCAACACUGACACUCAUGCAGGAAAGCGUGGCGAGCAAACAGG
rnacentral:rRNA from 1 species